UACGGAGGAUCCGAGCGUUAUCCGGAAUUAUUGGGUUUAAAGGGUGCGUAGGCGGCCAUUUAAGUCAGUGGUGAAAUCCUGCAGCUUAACUGCAGAACUGCCGUUGAUACUGAUAGCCUUGAGUUUGGUUAAGGUAGGCGGAAUGUGUAAUGUAGCGGUGAAAUGCUUAGAUAUUACACAGAACACCAAUUGCGUAGGCAGCUUACUGAGCCGACACUGACGCUGAGGCACGAAAGCGUGGGGAUCAAACAGGAUUAGA
rnacentral:rRNA from 1 species